rnacentral:rRNA from 1 species
UGGGGAAUAUUGCACAAUGGGCGCAAGCCUGAUGCAGCCAUGCCGCGUGUGUGAAGAAGGCCUUCGGGUUGUAAAGCACUUUCAGCGAGGAGGAAGGUGGUGAGCUUAAUACGCUCAUCAAUUGACGUUACUCGCAGAAGAAGCACCGGCUAACUCCGUGCCAGCAGCCGCGGUAAUACGGAGGGUGCAAGCGUUAAUCGGAAUUACUGGGCGUAAAGCGCACGCAGGCGGUUUGUUAAGUCAGAUGUGAAAUCCCCGGGCUCAACCUGGGAACUGCAUUUGAAACUGGCAAGCUAGAGUCUCGUAGAGGGGGGUAGAAUUCCAGGUGUAGCGGUGAAAUGCGUAGAGAUCUGGAGGAAUACCGGUGGCGAAGGCGGCCCCCCUGGACGAAGACUGACGCUCAGGUGCGAAAAGCGUGGGGAGCAAAACAGGAUUAGAUACCCUGGUAGUCCACGCUGUAAAACGAUGUCGAUUUGGAGGUUGUGCCCUUGAGGCGUGGCUUCCGGAGCUAACGCGUUAAAUCGACCGCCUGGGGGAGUACGGCCGCAAGGUUAAAAACUUAAAUG